rnacentral:rRNA from 1 species
GAUGAAUGCUGGCGGCGUGCCUAACACAUGCAAGUCGAGCGGCAGCGCGGAGAGUGUACUCUCUGGCGGCGAGCGGCGGACGGCUGAGUAACGCGUGGGAACGUGCCCCAAAGUGAGGAAUAACUGCCCGAAAGGGUGGCUAAUGCCGCAUAUGAUCUUCGGAUUAAAGGAUUUAUCCGCUUUGGGAGCGGCCCGCGUCGGAUUAGGUUGUUGGUGAGGUAAUGGCUCACCAAGCCGACGAUCCGUAGCUGGUCUGAGAGGAUGAUCAGCCAGACUGGGACUGAGACACGGCCCAGACUCCUACGGGAGGCAGCAGUGAGGAAUCUUCCACAAUGGGCGAAAGCCUGAUGGAGCAACGCCGCGUGCAGGAUGAAGGCCUUCGGGUUGUAAACUGCUUUUAUAAGUGAAGAAUAUGACGGUAACUUAUGAAUAAGCACCGGCUAACUACGUGCCAGCCGCCGCGGUAACAC